rnacentral:rRNA from 1 species
AUGUAGGAAUUUAAAGGUCGAACAGACCUAUUAAUUAAGCGGCUGCACCUAAUUAUUAUCUUAAUCCAACUUCGAGGUCGCAAGCCCCUCUGUAAAUAUGAACUCUGGAGAGGGAUUACGCUGUUAUCCCUAAGGUCACUUAAUCUAACAAUCAAUAAGAUUGGAUCUAAUAUUCAUAUAUCAAUGUAAAAUAAAUGAAAAAGUUAUUUAUAUAUUUUUGUCACCCCAACAAAAUACUUUCUAUUAAUAAUAAAUAAUAAUAAACUAAAAUAAAUUAAUAAUAAAAAUAUAAAGCUCUAUAGGGUCUUCUCGUCUUCCAAUAAUAUUUUAGCUUUUUAACUAAAAAAUUAAAUUCUAAAUUCAAAUUAAAUGAGACAGUCAACACCUCGUUAAACCCUUCAUACCAGCCCUCUAUUAAAAGACUAAUGAUUAUGCUACCUUUGCACGGUCAGUAUACCGCGGCCGUUAAAUUAUUUUCACUGGGCAGGCCAGACUUCCUAAAUUAGCAAGAAGACAUGUUUUUGUUAAACAGGCGAGUGUUUAUUUGCCGAGUUCCUUAUUUAAUCAUCUCAAUUUAAUUAUUAUAAACAAAUAAUUAUACUAAUUUAAUCAUUAUUUCAUAAAAUAUUUUGUUAAAUUUAUUAUUUUAAUGAAAUUCUAAAAUUUAAAUAAAUCUAAUUUAAUCAAUAUUUACUAUAACGUACUCAUAAAUGAUGGAUGAUCUUAACCCUACAUAAAUUGAUUAAAAUCUAAAUUUAUAGAAUAAAAAUAGAGCUUAUCCCCUAUUAUUUUAAUAUUAUAAUAUAUUUAAUUAAAAAAUUAAUUAAAUAAUUUAUAAUUCUAAAUUAAAUUUAUUUCUUAAAAAACUAGAUACCUUUAAAAACGAAUGAAAUUUCUUCCCUAAUUAAUAUUUUUAAUAAUCAUGACACAUUAACUAAAUUAAUUAAUUAGCUCUUCUGAAAUCGAGA